rnacentral:tRNA from 1 species
GCACUCGUAAUUCAGUGGCCAGAAUGCCGGUCCUACACACCGGACGUCGUAGGUUCGAAUCCUACCGAGUGCACCA